GUGUCAGCCGCCGCGGUAAUACGUAGGUGGCAAGCGUUAUCCGGAAUUAUUGGGCGUAAAGCGCGCGCAGGCGGUUCCUUAAGUCUGAUGUGAAAGCCCACGGCUUAACCGGGGAGGGUCAUUGGAAACUGGGGAACUUGAGUGCAGAAGAGAAAAGCGGAAUUCCAGGUGUAGUGGUGAAAUGCGUAGAGAUCUGGAGGAACACCAGUGGCGAAGGCGGCUUUCUGGGCUGUAACUGACGCUGA
rnacentral:rRNA from 1 species